UACGGAGGUGGCAAGCGUUGCUCGGAAUCACUGGGCGUAAAGGGCGCGUAGGCGGGGAGGUAAGUCGGGUGUGAAAUCCCUCGGCCCAACCGAGGAACUGCGCCCGAGACUGCUUCUCUUGAGUCCCGGAGAGGAAGGUGGAAUUCCCGGUGUAGCGGUGAAAUGUGUAGAGAUCGGGAGGAACACCGGUGGCGAAGGCGGCCUUCUGGACGGUGACUGACGCUGAGGCGCGAAAGCGUGGGGAGCGAUCCGG
rnacentral:rRNA from 1 species